CCAGAGUCGAGUUAUCCUGACCUUACUCUUCCACGUCUCUUUGACAGGACUGAUGUCAUCAACAAAAUCGUACCUAUUCGUCGUCUAAAUUUUGGGAUAAAUGUUUAAUAAUUAGUAUCAGUUGAAUGUUGGUAGCAUGAGAUGUUGUGUAUUGUGUUGGUAUUUAUAGCCAUAGUGAUAUAAAUCUAAAUAUUGUUUAGAUUUAUCAUAAUUAAAUUAAAAAGGAGAAUAUCAUAAUUAAAAUAAAAAGGAUAAUACUGUUUAUAUAAAGAAUGAUAUCAUAAAUAUAAUUACUUUUUAGAUUUAUCAUAAUUAAAUAAUAGCUGACAUUAAUCUAAACACUGUUCUUAAUCUAAACACUGUUUCUAACUGAUUAUUUCAGUUAGUUAUGUUGAUCUAUAGCAGUAACAAAUCAAUAUAAUAAACCUAAACACUGUUUAGAUUUAUAAUAAUUAAAUUAUAAAGGAUAAUAAUUAAAUUAUAAUAGUUGAUAUAAAUCUAAACACUUUUUAGAUUUAUCUUACAAAGGAUAAUAUUAUAGCAUUUAAUAUAAAUAUAAUCUACCAAAAAAAUUGUAAACCAAAAACAAAAAUUAAUGAAAAUCAUGACUUAGCUCAUCAUCGGCAAGAGCUUUUGUCAGGUUCCGUACGAAGGCUAAUCUGAUUUUUGAAAUCGAAGGUUAUGAGCCAAAGCCGGUUGAAGGGUAUGAGCCAAAGACUCCAUAAAUUGCGCCGGAGAUUUUAUUUGAAAUCGAAGAUUAUCAGUAGAUAGAAUUUUGAAAUCGAAGAUUAUCAGUAGCUUGGAUUUUGAAAUCGAAGGUUAUGAGCCAAAGCCAGUCGAAGGGUAUGAGCCAAAGACUCCAUAAAUUGCGCCGGAGAUUUUAUUUGAAAUCAAAGAUUAUGAGUAGCUUGGAUAUUGAAAUCGAAGGUUAUGAGCCAAAGCUGGUCGAUGGGUAUGAGCCGAUGGUAGCUAGUUAAUUAGGCGUAUUAAUUAUGGUAGACAGGUGUUUAAAG
rnacentral:lncRNA from 1 species